GGUAACAGGUCUUCGGAUGCUGACGAGUGGCGAACGGGUGAGUAAUACAUCGGAACGUGCCCGAGAGUGGGGGAUAACGAAGCGAAAGCUUUGCUAAUACCGCAUACGAUCUCAGGAUGAAAGCAGGGGACCGCAAGGCCUUGCGCUCACGGAGCGGCCGAUGGCAGAUUAGGUAGUUGGUGGGAUAAAAGCUUACCAAGCCGACGAUCUGUAGCUGGUCUGAGAGGACGACCAGCCACACUGGGACUGAGACACGGCCCAGACUCCUACGGGAGGCAGCAGUGGGGAAUUUUGGACAAUGGGCGCAAGCCUGAUCCAGCCAUGCCGCGUGCAGGAUGAAGGCCUUCGGGUUGUAAACUGCUUUUGUACGGAACGAAAAGACUCUGGUUAAUACCUGGGGUCCAUGACGGUACCGUAAGAAUAAGCACCGGCUAACUACGUGCCAGCAGCCGCGGUAAUACGUAGGGUGCGAGCGUUAAUCGGAAUUACUGGGCGUAAAGCGUGCGCAGGCGGUUAUGUAAGACAGAUGUGAAAUCCCCGGGCUCAACCUGGGAACUGCAUUUGUGACUGCAUAGCUAGAGUACGGCAGAGGGGGAUGGAAUUCCGCGUGUAGCAGUGAAAUGCGUAGAUAUGCGGAGGAACACCGAUGGCGAAGGCAAUCCCCUGGGCCUGUACUGACGCUCAUGCACGAAAG
rnacentral:rRNA from 1 species